rnacentral:rRNA from 1 species
UACAGAGGGUGCGAGCGUUAAUCGGAAUUACUGGGCGUAAAGCGUGCGUAGACGGUAGCGUAAGUCAGAUGUGAAAGCCCCGGGCUCAACCUGGGAACUGCAUUUGAGACUGCUCUGCUCGGGUGCGGAAGAGGGAAGCGGAAUUUCCGGUGUAGCGGUGAAAUGCGUAGAUAUCAGGAGGAACACCUGUGGUGUAGACAGCUUACUGGACCAUUUCUGACGCUGAGACACGAAAGCGUGGGUAGCAAACAGG